GGGGGGGGCAAGCGUUUGUUCGGAAUUACUGGGCGUAAAGGGCUCGUAGGCGGCCAGCCAAGUCGGACGUGAAAUCCCUCGGCUUAACCGGGGAACUGCGUCCGAUACUGGUUGGCUUGAAGCCGGGAGAGGGAUGUGGAAUUCCAGGUGUAGCGGUGAAAUGCGUAGAUAUCUGGAGGAACACCAGCGGCGAAGGCGGCAUCCUGGACCGGUCUUGACGCUGAGGAGCGAAAGCUAGGGGAGCAAACGGGAUUAGAUACCCCGGUAGUCCUAGCCCUAAACGAUGAAUGCUUGGUGUGGCGGGUAUCGAUCCCCUGCCGUGCCGGAGCUAACGCGUUAAGCAUUCCGCCUGGGGAGUACGGUCGCAAGGCUG
rnacentral:rRNA from 1 species